UUAGUUCUUUUUAAGUAUGAGAACCGAGCUCAAUGAUGAGGGCUGGAAUGUUGGGCAUCUCCUGAUGGUGGGGCUUGGUGGGCUAAAUUCUGGCUUGCCCUAUCCAAGCACAGAGUUGGAUCACGCAGCCCAAGUUUCGCAGCUUGGGCUGUUGGACUCCUAAAGUGGAGUGGAUUGCUCGAGGCUGGUUUCACAGAGCAAUGAAUAGCUUCCCCUCCUUCCUUUGUAAGGAUAUAACGGGUCGAUGUCCUUCAAGGCCAACAAUUACCUGAUGGGCUGCUCCAAUUAAACCAUCACUUUU
rnacentral:SRP_RNA from 1 species